GACGAACGCUGGCGGCGUGCUUAACACAUGCAAGUCGAACGGAAAGGCCCUGCUUUUGUGGGGUGCUCGAGUGGCGAACGGGGGAGUAACACGUGAGUAACCUGCCCUUGACUUUGGGAUAACUUCAGGAAACUGGGGCUAAUACCGGAUAGGAGCUCCUGCUGCAUGGUGGGGGUUGGAAAGUUUCGGCGGUUGGGGAUGGACUCGCGGCUUAUCAGCUUGUUGGUGGGGGAGUGGCUUACCAAGGCUUUGACGGGUAGCCGGCCUGAAAGGGUGACCGGCCACCUUGGGCCUGAGAGACGGCCCAGAGGCCUACGGGAGGCAGCAGUGGGGAAUAUUGCACAAUGGGCGGAAGCCUGAUGCAGAGACGCCGCGUGCGGGAUGACGGCCUUCGGGUUGUAAAACGCUUUAGCCUGUGACGACGCGUGAGUGACGGUAAUGGGUAAAGAAGCACCGGCUAACUUCGUG
rnacentral:rRNA from 1 species